ACAGCCACCCCCCCUCUCUGCUGUUCACCUAGCUGUAAAGCGAAGGCCCCCCCCGUCUACUGUUCACCUAGCUGUACAGCCCCCUCCCACUCCCCAUAACAUAGAACAUCUCUGAGCCUAAACACACUUUCAUUCUAUUCUAAAACAACCUUCCCCACAUCGCCCCUAAUCCAAACAAAACCAUGGCCCUAAGCAGAGCCAAUACCAAUGUUGAUGUCAGUCCUCGUCCUACAUCACUCAGAGGCACAAACGAAGAAGGAGGGCCUCCAUUUGAAUUCAGCCUUAGAAGGCAGGCAGUGGGUGAUUCAUCUGAACGCAGAUAAGCCAAGCAGCUAGCGUUUGAUCAUCAGGCAGUGUGUGUGUGUGUGUGUGUGUGUGUGUGUGUGUGUGUGUGUGUGUGUGUGUGUGUGUGUGUGUGUGUGUGUGUGUGUGUGUGUGUGUGCUCCCCAGCCAGUCCAGGUGACCCCUAGUGUUAUAAAUAGAUGUGAUACCCAUGUUGGCAACCGGCCCCGGCAACACAGUGCCAUGGUGAUGAAUCCUCUUGUGAUGUCAUGGAGGAAGGCACACACACACACAAGAGGGAAUACACACACACACACACACACAUAUAAAAGGGCACGUUGUUGCGCUUUGUCAACCAGCUGUUACCAAGCCGGGUUGUGUUCAUUUGGGAGGAAAAGCAGAGUGAAAACAACUGUUAAAAAAACAAUUGAAACAGGGAGGUACAGCCUGAAUGUGUACUAAGGUACAACCUGAAAAUGUGAGCACAGAUUGUAGUUUUCCGUUGCAAAAUGUUUUGCUACGGUGUGACCUAUUGAACACUCCCCAGGUGUGCCGCAAGCCAUUAUAUAUGUUGAUAUCUGUUGACCGUUGUUCAGAAAUGGAUCAAUGGGAAAUGUAGGGUUAAUUGUUAUUGUACAUUCCUCUAAUCAUGUUCUUCGAUAAGCACUCUGAUCAAUCAAUGGCACUAAUAAUAGAUUUAUUUACGUGAAUUGUCAAGUAAAAAAAAAAAGCCUUUUUAUUUAAAUGGUUGAGAUAUUUGUAUGAUAGUGUGUAAUAAUAAUUAUGUGGAUAAUGUAGUCUAUAAUACUGUAGUGUACAAAACUUUUUUGUUGUUGCAAUAGAAGACUUGAGCCACAGGGUGGCGCUGUUGGCCACCAGAGGAGUACCUGACAUAAUCUGUGUUUCCUGCCUCUCCAUGAAGACAGUGAUGACACACACAGAGCACACUGUGGCUCUUUCUAAAAAUCCAUCGUCUCCUUCAUCGCACUGAUCUGCAAGAACUGACCAGGUUAAACAUUUUCCAAACAGUGCAGAUGAAGGGGGGAAAAUUAUGAGAGGGACGAUUUUUAAGAGAUUGAGAAUGAGAUACAUCCAAGCUGUUACUGGCAGCCAGCCCAGAGAUGCUUCGAUUCUAAUGUUGAUACAGGCUAUGGUCAACCUGCUGAUGGUUUAUACUGUUGAUACAGGCUAUGGUUAACCUGUUGAUGGAUUCUAAUGUUGAUACAGGCUAUGGUCAACCUGUUGAUGGUUUAUACUGUUGAUACAGGCUAUGGUCUACCUGUUGAUGGAUUCUAAUGUUGAUACAGGCUAUGGUCAACCUGUUGAUGGAUUCUAAUGUUGAUACAGGCUAUGGUCAACCUGUUGAUGGAUUCUAAUGUUGAUACAGGCUAUGGUCAACCUGCUGAUGGUUUAUACUGUUGAUACAGGCUAUGGUCAACCUGUUGAUGGAUUCUAAUGUUGAUACAGGCUAUGGUCAACCUGUUGAUGGAUUCUAAUGUUGAUACAGGCUAUGGUCAACCUGUUGAUGGAUUCUAAUGUUGAUACAGGCUAUGGUCAACCUGUUGAUGGAUUCUAAUGUUGAUACAGACUAUGGUCAACCUGUUGAUGGAUUCUAAUGUUGAUACAGGCUAUGGUCAACCUGUUGAUGGAUUCUAAUGUUGAUACAGGCUAUGGUCAACCUGUUGAUGGAUUCUAAUGUUGAUACAGGCUAUGGUCAACCUGUUGAUGGAUUCUAAUGUUGAUACAGACUAUGGUCAACCUGUUGAUGGAUUCUAAUGUUGAUACAGGCUAUGGUCAACCUGCUGAUGGAUUCUAAUGUUGAUACAAGCUAUGGUCAACCUGCUGAUGGUGCCUGAACAGCAUAUCUGUGUCUGUCUGCUAAGCCUUUUUAAAGUCGUCUUUAUGGAGACAUUCUAUAGUGUUGUUAUGUAGUCUGUAGUCCCAGCCACGUCAGCACUUUACAGCAGGUAGAGACCCUGGAGUUCAACAUCAAUGACUUUAUAGCAUGUAGAGACCCUGGAGCUCAACAUCAAUGACUUUAUAGCGGGUAGAAACCCUGGAGUUGAACAUCAAUGACUUUAUAGCAGGUAGAGACCCUGGAGUUGAACAUCAAUGACUUUAUAGCAGGUAGAAACCCUGGAGCUCAACAUCAAUGACUUUAUAGCGGGUAGAAACCCUGGAGUUGAACAUCAAUGACUUUAUAGCAGGUAGAGACCCUGGAGUUGAACAUCAAUGACUUUAUAGCAGGUAGAAACCCUGGAGUUGAACAUCAAGGACUUUAUAGCAGGUAGAAACCCUGGAGUUGAACAUCAAUGGCUUUAUAGCAGGUAGAGACCCUGGAGUUGAACAUCAAUGACUUUAUAGCAGGUAGAAACCCUGGAGUUGAACAUCAAUGACUUUAUAGCAGGUAGAGACCCUGGAGUUGAACAUCAAGGACUUUAUAGCAGGUAGAAACCCUGGAGUUGAACAUCAAUGACUUUAUAGCAGGUAGAGACCCUGGAGUUGAACAUCAAACACUGAUUGAACAGAAAACCACCGACAGAUCAUGUCUUGUCUGUCUGCAGCAGUAGUCACAAGAGGACUGUCAUUAAAUGUUUGUUUUUUUGUUGAUACUAUUAGAAGUGAUAGACCUGUAAUGAUGGCCACACAAUACAGAAUACCCAGCACAGAAAUAGCACAGGAUCUAAAGUGCAGGCACAAACAUAGAAGCCCUCUCGAUUGUGGAUCACAGCCACAGGAUGCUAGAGACUGCUUGUGGAUCACAGCCAUAGGAUGCUAGGGACUGCUUGUGGCUCACAGCCACAGGAUGCUAGGGACUGCUUGUGGAUCACAGCCACAGGAUGCUAGGGACUGCUUGCAGAUCACAGCCACGGGUAAAUUAUGGAUUACCAAUUAGAGAGCUAGAAUCACUUGAACUAUUAUUGAUGGAGGGAGAGGGAGAGGGAGAAGGGGGGGAGAGAGAGAGAGAGAGAGAGAGAGAGAAAA